rnacentral:lncRNA from 1 species
GCGGGCGAUGAGUAGUGGGACGAGACGUGAGGUACGUGUGUAGCGGUCGAUAGAGCUUCCGACCCAGGUUAUUCGAUUUGUUAUUAUCUCUUGGAAUUUCUGUUGAUAUAUAGUUAGUUAUUUUAGUGUUCAGUAUUUACAUUUGGAAAAUGUGAAUUUCUGUAUUUUGUAAAUAAAAGGUUUUCUACCCCUCGUGGUAGCGCUUUAAAAGAAUAAAGGUUUCUGUGUAGGAAACAGUUUUCAAAAGAUUUUUGUGGAUUUCUGUUUAAACCUUGAAUGUAAAACUGUGAUGUAAUGGUGAAUUAUGAAUGUAUAGUUAUCUUUAUAUUCUCUGGUGUGUUUGUAUCGUAUUGUAUCUGUGUAUUGAUCGACGCCGUACAAAUACAGGGAGACUUUGUCGCGUGUGAACAGUGAUUCCCUGUAUUUGUGGCGGAAUUGGCAUACUCUGGGUCAGGUUUAAAAAAAAAAAAAAAAAAAUUCAUACGCUUUCCGCUUUGUUUUAACCAGAAAAAGGGCACCGGGGCGUGACAUAGGACUCCCUCAUCACCAUCUCUGGCUCCCAAGUCGCUCCGCUCCUCAUGAUUACUCUACUGCACCUUUUACAUACGGAUGACCCGAUUACGCAAUUCUUUGGUCUCCCGAGCGAGAAUCCGCACAAUCAUCCCUCGUAUCUCAGAUCCUCGCUAAUCUCUAGCGGAGUGAAGUCGAUCACGUGAGAAGGAUCGAACACGGUAUCUCCUCAAUGCCGAGACGUGGAAGGCAUCGUGGAUACCGGUCAGUCGGGGAGGUAGAGCAAUCCUAUAUAGCAACUGGUCCAACUCACUCCAAUACCUCAAAAGGGCCAACGAAACGUGGACUGAGCUUUCUAACGUACUCCGAAUUUGCGAAUCCCUCUGGAACGACGAGAACUUUAAGAAAAACAUGAUUUCCAACCUAGAACUCUAAGUCUUGUCUCUUGGUAUCGCAUAGCUUCUUUGGCGGCUCUGGCGCUGUCAAAAGGUGUCGUCGAACAACUCUCACCUUUUCCUCCGCCUCUAGUAAAAACUCAGGCCCAUGCGUCUUCCUUUCACGCCACAUCUCCAACACAAAGGGGAUCGACAUAAUGCGUCCAUACAACGCAUCAAACGGAGCCAUAUGAUGCUCGCUUGAUAGCUUGUUAUUGUACGCAAACUUAGCCAGUCUCAAACGUCGAUAUCACCCCCUCCCAAAGUCCAAGACGUAUGCUCUCAGCAUGUCUCAGAGUCUGAAUGGUCGCUCUGACUGACCAUCUGUCUGUGGGUGAAACGCUGUGCUGAACUGGCAACUGUGUACCAAGACUGUCUGCAAACUCCUCCAGAAGUGUGAUAAAAUCUCAGAUCCCUAUCAGAUACGACUGAAAUCGGCAUGCCAUGCAGCUAACAAUCUCAUCCAGAUAUAAGCUGCGCGAGUCUCUCUCUGGACCAGGUGGUCUGAACCGGUAGGAAGUGAGCAGACUUAGUCGUCUGUCCACUAUCACGCCCAAAUCGCAUCAUAGCCACCCUGUGCUCUAGGCAAUCCCACGAUAAAUCCAUCGUGAUCUGCUCCCAUUUUCACUCGGCACUGGCAAUUCUGAAGCUUGCCAGCAGGUACCUGAUGCUCGCCUUCACUCUGUUGAUAAGUCAACACACUGAGCCGCACAAAUCUACCAAUGUCUCUCUUCAUCCAUCCACCAAAACUGUGCCUUCAGAUCCUUAUACAUCUUGUUCCACUAGGGUGAACGUAUAAGGUAAAACAAUGAGCCUCUCUCAAAAUAUUCUCUUGGAUCUCCGCAUCCCAGGCAACACACAGUCGAUCAUCUGUACCGCAGUACUCCCGAACUGUCCACAACAUGGCUGGCUAUACCGUACAGAGGCCACCGAGCAGUCUCGCGCAACCCUGUGAAGUGUACCGGUACCCAUGCUGGCUGUACGCGUACAGCAAGCAGAAAACCUGCUAUUUGCAGAUUCCCUUGCCAAAAGCUGCUCUCACGUCGCACCAGAGUUCGUUUUGCCUCUAUUUCGGUCAACGCGACUCAGACUUGUCCCGCACCUCCAGAGCUGUCGACAAGCUUUACUGCUGUACACCAGGGAUCUCACACUCGCACUUAAAUUUUCCUAUAUAAUCUAAUAUUCUAAUUUGCAAUGUGUGGCCAAAAAAAUUAAACUACAUAUAAUUUGGUGCAUGUGCUUCUUCUCCCCCAUAUAAAAUUGAAGUGGCAUUGGGACCCAACUCGAUCUUUAGUAGCCUUUAGCUUUUAUAGGGCUAUAAAGUUAUAAUAAUAAUUAAAAUACACCAAUCAUAUAUACUAAUAUACAUGAGUUUGGAGAAUGUCCAUUUCCUUUUGAAUAAAAAAUAUACAUUUAUUAUUGGCUUAAUUUUUACAGCUCCUUGUAAACAUAUCGAAUAACAAAUAUAUCUCUAUAAAGUUCAACUUUUUAUAUUUAUUUCUGUAAAAAUUCAGUAAUAUUCAUAUUUGCCUCUCUUGUUUGUUACUAUUAAGACACUGUUUAUUUUUUAGUAGAAGAUAAGUGUAAUGACAUUAUAAACCAUCACAAUAUGUCACUUCAAAAGUCUAAUUGUUAGAAUUAUGUAGAAAAUACUCUCUAAAUUUUUUAACAGUCAUUUUUUUUCUCUAUACCAUCCACAUAAUAUAAGACAGAUAAAAAGAUUAAUUUAUCUUAUUCACUAUUAAGGAUUAAGUAUUUUAUCUGUGGUUAACUAUAUUUUUUUAACAAACCGCUAUUAGUAGGGGAUAUUUGAAAAACGUUAGGAUUUUAAUAGGAAAAAACAUGAAAAGGUUAAAUUUUAUAAGAACAUAUUUGCUAUUCGAUAUGUUUCGCGGAAGCUGUAUGCAAUUCAAUCUAUUAUUUAUAUGCAUGUCAACUUGAGCUUGUUGUGACCCUUAUUAUUAUAUUAUUAUUAUUAUUAUUAUUAUUAUUUUAUUUUCUUUGGGCUUGUUUUAAGUUCUGUGGUUAGGAGGCAUCCCCACAUGUUUUGGGGGGAUAACUUGAGGCUUGCUUAUAAUGAUGUCACAGAAAUAAUAGGGAAAAAUGUGCAAGACCCCUAAGCUUCAACAGUUAGCAAGUAGGGCUUAAUUUUUAGUUUUGAUAGUUAGAUUAUCUAAAACAUAUCAUAUAGUUUUAAUAGAUCAUUAUUAUCUCAUUUUGAUCGUAUUGCAUAUAAUCUCACGACGCUUUAAAAUAUCAAAAAAAAUAUUGUUUUUAUUUUAAUACAGGGACAAAAUAAUAGAUUGUCUUGAAUCUUCAAUUAUAAUGCUUAUUUACAAAAUUAUGUGCGAGAUUAUGUAAUCAAACGGCUGUUUAAUUGGUAACUUCACUCUACAAAAAGAUCUAAUUAAAUUAUUUUGAUUAAAAAAAAAACUAAUAGCUAAAAAUUAAGUCUAUUUAUAAAAAUGAUAAAGUUCAGUGGCCUUUAUACAUUUUUUUGCCAAUAAUAGCUUGGUGUUUCUAGUAGUAGAGACAACAAAAUUUCUGGUAGAUAUGCUUAGAAGCUUCUUUGUGAUGUGACAUACAUUUUUUUUAAUAAUCUAGAAAUAUGUACCAAGAUUUCUUGAAGUUUGAUUUUAAUUUUGAUAACUAUAUUUUUUAAUUUUUGUAAAAUAAUUUAUAAGAUCAAUCAUCGCAUUCAGCCACCAUUUAUAUAAUCUGCUUAUACAAAAAAAUUAUUCUUUUAUCCUAACAUAUAGAUAAUAAUAAUAAUAAUAGAUAGAUAGAUUCGACCCUAUUAAUUUUUCAAUUCUAGUGCUUAGUAACUAAUUAGGUUUACAACAACCGCAGAAAUCGAUCAUGAUCAAAUUUGAGUACCUCUACGGAUAGUUUAAACUUCUUUAAAAUUUGAAGUUAUAUAAAAUCGUGUGCAAGAUGUGAUCAAAUUGCUAUAUUUUUUCUUUUUUUUUUUCAAUUGUGAAGAGAGAUUUAACAAAUAAUUUGAGAAAGUUUAGGAAUCUAACCGUCGAGAGCAAAAGUUCAAAGGUUUUGGCUUGCAAAAGCACUAAAAGUUUAGGGAGUUGGGUAAUUUUUCUUUCUUAGGUUAUUUUCAUAUGGUACCUCAACAAAGGUGACGAAUAGUAAAUAAAUUCCAAUAAAAUCUUAAUAAUCAAAUUUAUUUCUCCAAAAAUUCAAUGGUUUGCAAAUUAUAUCUUUCUCUUCCUCCCCUUGCUUCGUAGCUGACCGUGCAACAUACAUCAUCUCUCACUGUGGCCAAGGGUCAUCACUACAAUUUUGAAAAAGAGAUCCGAUCACUUAAGUUUUAUAAAAAUUUAUUUAUUAUUUGAUACUUUUAUAGAAAUCCAUAUAAUAAUUAUUCUCUUUAAUUUUCACUAUGGAAAAUGGGAAUGUCUCUUUCCUUAUAAGUGAAAAAGUUACAAUACGUCAAUCAUUUAGCUUUGCUUGUUAAACUUGCUAUUUUGUUCUUUCUUUUUUAAUCAUUUGAGGCAACUCCCCCUAAUUAUUAGAAGAAAGAACAAAUGAUGUGAGAGUCAAUUAAACUUCGCAUUGUAAUUAUUAGAAGAAACCACAAAUGAUGUAAGUCAUAUAAAUAACUAUAUCUUAGUACUCCUAGAGUGGNNNNNNNNNNNNNNNNNNNNNNNNNUUUAUUGUAGCUACUGUUUUAUUUACCUGCAUCUAUACUUGUCAGCUCCUUACUUAUCAGCAUCUUUACUUACCAGUACUUAUGUCUAUCUAGUUCUCCGUGUUGUUGUAUAGCUCUCUUCCUGAUCCGGUGAGUACUCCUCGCCUUCUUCGGCUUGCGGUACCCACUGGGAGGGGAGACAUGUUUACAUGUUCUCACCUCCCCCACCAUUUUUCAGGUAUCGCGGGCGAUGAGUAGUGGGACGAGACGUGAGGUACGUGUGUAGCGGUCGAUAGAGCUUCCGACCCAGGUUAUUUCGAUUUAGUUAUUAUCCUUGGAAUUUCUGUUGAUAUAUAGUUUAGUUAGUUUAUGUGGUUCAGUAUUUACAUUUGAAAAUGUGAAUUUCUGUAUUUUGUAAAAUAAAAGGUUUUCUACCCCUCGUGGUAGCGCUUUUAAAAGAAUAAAGGUUUCUGUGUAGGAAACAGUUUUCAAAAGAUUUUUGUGGAUUUCUGUUUAAACCUUGAAUGUAAAACUGUGAUGUGAAUGGUGAAUGUAUGAAUGUAUAGUUAUCUUUAUAUUCAUCUGGUUGUGGUUGUAUCCUGAUUGUACUGUGUAUUUGAUCGACGCCGUACAAAUACAGGGGAGACUUUGUCCGUGUGAACAGUGGAUUCCCUGUAUUUGUGGCGGAUCUGGCAUACUCUGGGGUCAGGUUUAAAAAAAAAAAAAAAAAAAA